rnacentral:rRNA from 1 species
UAGGGAAUCUUCGGCAAUGGGGGGAACCCUGACCGAGCAACGCCGCGUGAGUGAAGAAGGUUUUCGGAUCGUAAAGCUCUGUUGUUAAGGAAGAACGAGUGUGAGAAUGGAAAGUUCAUACUGUGACGGUACUUAACCAGAAAGGGACGGCUAACUACGUGCCAGCAGCCGCGGUAAUACGUAGGUCCCGAGCGUUGUCCGGAUUUAUUGGGCGUAAAGCGAGCGCAGGCGGUUAGAAAAGUCUGAAGUGAAAGGCAGUGGCUCAACCAUUGUAGGCUUUGGAAACUGUUUAACUUGAGUGCAGAAGGGGAGAGUGGAAUUCCAUGUGUAGCGGUGAAAUGCGCAGAGAUAUGGAGGAACACCAGUGGCGAAGGCGACUUUCUGGUCUGUAACUGACGCUGAUGUGCGAAAGCGUGGGAAUCAAACAGG